rnacentral:rRNA from 1 species
AGAGUUUGAUUCUGGCUCAGGAUGAACGCUGGCGGCGUGCUUAACACAUGCAAGUCGAGCGAAGCAGUUAAGUUGAUUUCUUCGGAUUGAUUCUUAACUGACUGAGCGGCGGACGGGUGAGUAACGCGUGGGUGACCUGCCCCAUACCGGGGGAUAACAGCUGGAAACGGCUGCUAAUACCGCAUAAGCGCACGGAGCUGCAUGGCUCGGUGUGAAAAACUCCGGUGGUAUGGGAUGGGCCCGCGUCUGAUUAGGCAGUUGGCGGGGUAACGGCCCACCAAACCGACGAUCAGUAGCCGGCCUGAGAGGGCGACCGGCCACAUUGGGACUGAGACACGGCCCAA